AUUUUAUAAAAAGCAUUGUGUAAGUAAUUUUAAUGCAUAUGGUAAUUGAUCACAUUUACUCAUAUAACAAUCACAAGUGUAAUCAUUCUUUUAUUCAUACGAUACAUUUAUUCAUUUGUUACCCUCAAUUACAUUUCAUAAUGUGUAUUUUCCUUAUAUAGAAC